UACAGGGGGGGCAAGCGUUGUUCGGAAUUACUGGGCGUAAAGGGUCUGUAGGUGGCCAACUAAGUCAGACGUGAAAUCCCUCAGCUUAACUGGGGAACUGCGUCUGAUACUGGAUGGCUCGAGUGUGGGAGAGGAAUGCGGAAUUCCAGGUGUAGCGGUGAAAUGCGUAGAUAUCGGGAGGAACACCAGUGGCGAAGGCGGCGACCUGGGCAGAUACUGACACUGAGGUGCGAAAGCGUGGGGAGCAAACAGG
rnacentral:rRNA from 1 species